rnacentral:rRNA from 1 species
AGCGAACGCUGGCGGCAGGCCUAACACAUGCAAGUCGAGCGCCCAGCAAUGGGAGCGGCAGACGGGUGAGUAACGCGUGGGGAUCUACCCAUUGGUAAGGAAUAACCCAGGGAAACUUGGACUAAUACCGUAUGAGCCCUUCGGGGGAAAGAUUUAUCGCCAAUGGAUGAACCCGCGUCGGAUUAGAUAGUUGGUAGGGUAAAGGCAUACCAAGGCGACGAUCCGUAGCUGGUCUGAGAGGAUGAUCAGCCACACUGGGACUGAGACACGGCCCAGACUCCUACGGGAGGCAGCAGUGGGGAAUAUUGGACAAUGGGCGCAAGCCUGAUCCAGCCAUGCCGCGUGAGUGAUGAAGGCCUUAGGGUUGUAAAGCUCUUUCGCCGGUGAAGAUAAUGACGGUAACCGGAGAAGAAGCCCCGGCUAACUUCGUGCCAGCCGCCGCAGUAAAAC